rnacentral:rRNA from 1 species
UGAGGAAUAUUGGACAAUGGGGGCAACCCUGAUCCAGCCAUGCCGCGUGGGUGACGAAGGCCCUAGGGUUGUAAAGCCCUUUCACCUGCGACGAUGAUGACGGUAGCAGGAGAAGAAGCCCCGGCUAACUCCGUGCCAGCAGCCGCGGUAAGACGGAGGGGGCUAGCGUUGUUCGGAAUUACUGGGCGUAAAGAGCGCGUAGGCGGCAGAUCAAGUCAGGUGUGAAAGGCCCGGGCUCAACCUGGGAACUGCACUUGAGACUGGUCAGCUAGAGUCCGGGAGAGGGUGGUGGAACUCCCAGUGUAGAGGUGAAAUUCGUAGAUAUUGGGAAGAACACCGGUGGCGAAGGCGGCCACCUGGCCCGGCACUGACGCUGAGGCGCGAAAGCGUGGGGAGCAAACAGGAUUAGAUACCCCCGUAGUCC